rnacentral:rRNA from 1 species
AUUGAACGCUGGCGGCAGGCCUAACACAUGCAAGUCGAACGAGUGGCGGACGGGUGAGUAAGGUAGGGGAAACUGCCUGAUGGAGGGGGAUAACUAAUGGAAACGGUAGCUAAUACCGCAUACCAUCGGAUGUGCCCAGAUGGGAUUAGCUAGUAGGUGGGGUAAAGGCUCACCUAGGCGACGAUCCCUAGCUGGUCUGAGAGGAUGACCAGCCACACUGGACCUGAGACACGGUCCAGCCUCCUACGGGAGGCAGCAGUGGGGAAUCUUGCACAAUGGGCGCAAGCCUGAUACAGCCAUGCCGCGUGUAUGAAGAAGGCCUUCGGUUUGUAAAGUACUUUCAUCGGGGAGGCGUUACCCGCAGAAGAAGCCCCGGCUAACUCCGUGCCAGCAGCCGCGGUAAUAC